rnacentral:lncRNA from 1 species
CCCUAUAUGACACUCUAGUUCAUUUUAUACACGUGAAAAGACCUUUUUACCCAUGUACAUAAUGUGACCAGAAAUAUGUAGCAUUGAGCCUAAAAUAAGAGCAGUAGUAGUAUUUUUAUGCUUAGUAAAUACUACUACUAAUCUGUCACGGAGAUUUAGAUAUCCUAACUAGUAGCAUUGAGCCUAAAAAAAAGAGCAGCAGUAGUAGUAUAUGACCUUGGUUGUGACAGCCAUGUAAGGUAACGACGUAACGUGGAUAACGGACUUACCUACAUUCAAGUUAGGAAAUUAGCAAUCUGCUACCAGUAUAAUGGAAUCAAUCAAUUUUAUUCCUUUUUUCUGUCACGGAGAUUUAGAUAUCCUAACUAGUAAUAAUAACUAUGUUGCAUAUCGAUCCAGCAGCCUGCUAGCUUCUAUAUGUGUAUAUUAAAAUACCUCUGGGGUCAUAUUAUCUUGAAACAACUACUAUUAUCUUAUACAUAUUUGUGGUCACAUUAUACAUAUGGGCAAAAUGGUCUUUUCAUGUGUACAAAAUGCACUAGAGUGUCAUAUAGGGAAAAAAAUUAAGACUAGAGGUCAUAUAGGGAAGAAUUUUUUCUCUAAUGUCAAAUAAGGAACACAAUUUUAAGAGAGUGUCAAAUAAGGAAUUCUCUCUAGUUUUUUUUAUCCUGUAUGUAAUACUCCCUCCGUCCCAAAAUAACUGUCUCAAGCUUAGUACAAAUUUGUACUAGAGCUAGUACAAAGUUGAGACACUUAUUUUGGGACGAAGGGAGUACAUAAGCAAUCUCUCAUAUUAUUGAGGACACUCUUCAGAGAAACUUCAUGUAUUUCAUUCCACAUCUCGAUCUAUCCUUCUAGCUGUAUCGUUCAAUACAUCAUAGUUCCGUCGCGAAACAAAAACAAUAUGUACAUUGUAGUUUCACGCACCCGUCUAUUUUGGUUGGUUAGUUGUCCCUCACGUACGGGGUUCCUACGUGAAUAACUAGAUAUUUGGAUUCAAAAUAAUGAAAAGCAUGAGCACGCCAUCCAACCUACGUGGCAACAUUAAAGUAAUAUAUGACCAUUGAAGUACUUCCGC